ensembl:lncRNA
AUCUUGGCCUUGCAUUUCUCAGAGUUCUGAGCUGGGACACAUGAUUCAGAGCUCAGACACAUGGAGACCAUCUUGGCUUUGCAGCUUGGUCAAGCUAGGCCCCUUCCUGAGGCCCCAGGAUUGAUGACCUGGCUGUGCCAUCAGUGUGGGAGGGGUGUGUGUUCCACAAGUCUCAGGCACAAUGCCUCUGCCCUCUAGGAUAUACAUCCUUUGUCGAUAGGGAUAAAGGAAAGGUUGGGACUGUGCUGGGUAGUAGGAGACAGCACCUCUAGAAGCACCCAAUACAUAGAAGGCGAGGCUGAGCAGCUGAAGGAUUCAGGUGGCCCUGUAAUCACAAGGACAGCAUUACCAAGUUCUGAGGGGAAGUAACCAUGUCUGAUUGGAAGAAGGGCAUCUUGUAGGCCAAAAAGGCCCAAACAUCAGCUUUUUAGGACACUUACCCAGCUCAGGUGUUCCCAGAACAGCAAACCACAAACCAAUAGCUCUCCCAUGACCCUCAUACUAAGCUACUUGCUUGGUGGUUAUCCUCAGACCAAGGUCUUGACUGCUCAGAUCCAGCUGCUACCCAGAGUUGCCAGGAGGGGGUACACUCUGGCUUCUCUUUGGGGAAGGUCAGCAGAGCCACUCCAUUUACCAGGAUCUGGCCCAGGAGCCCUGGACACCUGGUGGAUAGAACAGAGAAAUCUGGAGGCACAGACAAGUCUGUUUCUGAGUUUCUGUCCAGAGGGUUAUGGCCUGCCCUCCCACCUACCCAGGUUUUGUGGUCAUCUGUCUUGGUACCAGCAGGGGCUAUCUAGGGUAGCUGGAAGCACAAUAGGUCUUUCAGGAGCCUAUGGCUCUAUGGAGUCUCCAGCCCAAGGAAGAUACAGUCCCCCGUUUAGUACAUAGUGUGGGGCAAGGAAGGACAUGAUCAAAACCCAUUGUUAUGGAAAAUGUUCCCAAGAAGCCUGAGCUUCUUGCAGUGGGACAUUCCCAGAGGAAACCUGGAGAUCCCAGGAAGUCCCUCCUGGGUGGUCAACCCCCAGCCCCGUCCCACUGCAAUCAGCUGGCCACAGGGUUUGCCACACUGGAGCCUCCAGCAGACCUGCCCCUCCCAAGGUGGAUCCUGUAUCCAGUUGGUCCCUGACUUGGUACAUUGCCACUGCUUGAACCUUCCAAGUUUUAAUUCUGCCUAAUAGAACAGCAUAGAUAAAGCUUGGACUAAGCAAACAGGAGCAGUGACUUUGCCCCUCCUCUGGGAGAAAACCUAUUGGCAGUAAGGAUAGGAAGUUACCUCACCAUUUAGCUAGACCCCAAGGCAGCUACCCAGAGAGCAUAGGCCCCUCCACCUGCCAGCAGUUCACAGACCUAGAGUCCCAAAGGAGGGCAGGAACUUCAACCAGGAAUCCUUUCCAUUUUGUUAUCCUGUUAGCUCACUGAUUAUCUGGACCCAGGUGUAUGUGGCUCAUAAAGCAAGUGGUGAUAGAGUAAUUUGCAAAAUUUGAGCUUUAGAUUUGAGCAGCUGGCCUGGCCAUCUUAUGGCCAUCACACCAAGCUACCGACGUGUUCAUCCCUGAGAAACUUGACUCCAUGACUGCCUCUUGGUCUGUUUACUGCUGUGUGUCCAAAGCCUAGAACAGGGUUGGGCCCCAAGUUGGUUCAAGGAGAACUGGGCUGCUUGACCCUGCAGGGCUCUCUGCUGCUCCCACAUCCCCAGGCUAUCUUGUGACUUAAGUGUGUCCACAUGUCAAGAUUGUGUCCUCUGACAAGGACCAAACUGGCACGGAGCAGGGUUCAGUCAACAGUUGAUAACCCAAAGGCUUUUCUUCAGAACACUAAGGAUGACCACAGUGUGACUAGAGAUGCAGAAGAGACCCUUGUCCCUUAUCAUGCCUAUUUCCUCCAUUUCCCUCAACAAUCCUAAGAUUCCUCCUUAGGCCCUUUUGAGCAACUAGACUACCAUAAUGGCAGGCCUUGUUCCUGCCCUGAUCCACUCAUAGGGCCCUGCUUAGCAACACUGGCUUGAGUUUGCCAUCUGCAGUAAUCUAGCUGGAGCCACAGAUCCACAGGCCAAAUAUUAGCUGUUUCUAUGGCAAGCAGGUCACAAGACUGCUCCUUUCCUCUUUGAGGAGCAAUAUUAGCUCUGAUCUCAACCACUAUGAUCACUGAAAAUCCACUCUCAGUGUCCUCUCAUGUGAAGGCCACAUUGCCCAAAGGCUGCACCCUUCACACUGGGAAGUUGAGAGGUUGCCCAGGUUACAAAGAGCAGAACCCUCUAUAUAGUCCUUAAUGUCCUCCAGGCAGCCUGCUAGCUGCCCUCUGCAGAUGGCCAGUAGGCCUGGGACUGGUGUUCCAGAGCAAGGGGAUAAGUCUCCCAGGACAGAUGAAUGUCCUGCCACCUAGGACUAUUUAGAAAGCCAGUUUCUGUGCCAGGCGUGGUGGUGCAUUCCUGUAAUUCCAGCACUCAGGAGCCCGAGGCAGGAGGAUUGCUGCAAGGCCAGGCUGGACUAUCUACUGAGACCCUCAAACAAAGAUUUGUCUCAAAGCCAACUUCUGACCUGACCACUAAAAGUGGGAUCCUUCCCAUCAGGACACAGGUGUGCAUCCAGAGUACAAUGGUUCGUCUUCGGCUUUCUGGCUCUCCUGGUGCAUGGCCCUAUUCCUAGAGGGCUUAUUGUUAUAGGUGCAGAUUUUCUGAGCCCUAGAGUAAAUUUCACCCACUCUCUCACUUGAAAAACUCACCUCCAUCUUACCACAGAUCUGGUGGUCUCUCCUGAGUCUCCAAAAGAGCCUCACUUCUUUCUGGUCUGAUCCUCAUUUCCUGCAUGGUAUUCUCGAAGGCCCAGCUCCCCUCAAAUCCCUCUCUCACUGCAGCUUUUGCUUCCAGGAUUCCUAGGCCCAUCCUCUCCACCAUUCCGGCGCGCGCUCAGAGGACAGAGGAUAGAACAGCCUGAAGUGGGCUUAGGAAGCUUUGAGUGUGAGUGACCUCGGGGGCAGCCAAAUGGCCCUAAAGGAACAUUAAGGGAACAGGCCGAGAAGUCAUAUGACCAAGUGACAUCGUGAUUCACGAGACUGUACCUCAGACUCAAGCCAAUCUGCACGACCGCUGCUUCUGAACGCGGAGCCCUGGAGGAGUCGCCAGGAACAGAGCUAGACAUCCCGGAGGGGACCUGGAAGAGGCUGGGAGCAACCACGGGAUGGCCUGACCCCUCCGCAGAUAGACCUCCUAGCUCUCAACUUGGUCCAAGAACAUCAAGACCCUCAGCCCUGCCUUGGACCUAUGGGAGUCGUAGUCCGGACGUGAGUCCCAGCGUCCCGUGCGCCGCUGACGCACCGUAGCCGAGGGACCCGGCCGGGCGCCACGCUACGGAGGCGGCGUAAAGCGAGUCGUGUUUGGGCGGCUCUACGG